UACGGGGGGGGCAAGCGUUGUUCGGAAUUACUGGGCGUAAAGGGCUCGUAGGCGGCCAACUAAGUCAGACGUGAAAUCCCUCGGCUUAACCGGGGAACUGCGUCUGAUACUGGAUGGCUUGAGUUUGGGAGAGGGAUGCGGAAUUCCUGGUGUAGCGGUGAAAUGCGCAGAUAUCAGGAAGAACACCCGUGGCGAAAGCGGCUCUCUGGAACGGUACUGACGCUGAGACGCGAAAGCGUGGGGAGCGAACAGG
rnacentral:rRNA from 1 species